GUAGGUGGCAAGCGUUGUCCGGAAUUAUUGGGCGUAAAGCGCGCGCAGGUGGUUCUUUAAGUCUGAUGUGAAAGCCCCCGGCUCAACCGGGGAGGGUCAUUGGAAACUGGGGAACUUGAGUGCAGGAGAGAAAAGUGGAAUUCCACGUGUAGCGGUGAAAUGCGCAGAUAUGUGGAGGAACACCAGUGGCGAAGGCGACUUUCUGGCCUGUAACUGACACUGAGGCGCGAAAGCGUGGGGAGCAAACAGGAUUAGAUACCCUGGUAGUCCACGCCGUAAACGAUGAGUGCUAAGUGUUGGGGGGUUUCCGCCCCUCAGUGCUGCAGCUAACGCAUUAAGCACUCCGCCUGGGGAGUACGGUCGCAAGACUG
rnacentral:rRNA from 1 species